CGUCCACCCAACUGAACUUGCCCCGACGAAGUCUCGCGCUCAACUGCGCGACUCGCCGCUAGCGCGCUACGCGCGCUCUUCACCCCCUGUUCGCGUAACGAGGACGCCGAGCCUACCACCGGACCUCGUCGCGUCCUUAGUGAUUAGUUAGCCUUCUGACGAACAGCUUCUUGAAUAUUAUGGGAUUUCUAUCGUAUACCAGAUCGUGUUCUUCACAGCGAUGUUUCCCGAGAAAACGAAGAAAACACAUCACAUCUCACGGGAAUUAUUAUAAACACUCAAUGUAAAUUGAGUGAAGAUAUCACAAUUUUGCGACCGUGAGAUAUACGCUGCUUCUCUUUGUUGACUGUGAGGAACGAUUCUUUGAUAAAUGAAAUUUAAAUCAAAGGUAUUCAUAAAAGUAACAGAGAGAGAGAGAGAGAGAGAGAGAGAGAGAGAGAGAGAGAGAGAGAG